UACAGGGGGUGCAAACGUUGCUCGGAAUCAUUGGGCGUAAAGCGCACGUAGGCGGUUCGUUAUGUCGGAUGUGAAAGCCCUUGGCUUAACCGAGGAAGUGCAUCCGAAAACUGGCGAGCUAGAGUACGAAAGAGGAUCGCGGAAUUCCCCGGUGUAGAGGUGAAAUUCGUAGAUAUCGGGAGGAACACCGGUGGCGAAGGCGGCGAUCUGGGUCGAUACUGACGCUGAGGUGCGAAAGCGUGGGGAGCAAACAGG
rnacentral:rRNA from 1 species